AAUCAACGCUGGCGGCGUGCUUAACACAUGCAAGUCGAACGCGGUUACUGCCUCUCCGCAAGGAGAGAUGGUGACUGAGUGGCGAACGGGUGAGUAACACGUGGGUGAUCUACCCUGAGUGGGGGAUAACGUUCCGAAAGGAACGCUAAUACCGCAUGACGUUCUGGGUUUGAAGACCUGGAAACCAAAGCUGGGGCCCUUAGGGCAACUUAAGGCCUGGCGCUUGGAGAGGAACCCGCGCCUGAUUAGCUAGUUGGUGAGGUUACGGCUCACCAAGGCGACGAUCAGUAGCCGGCCUGAGAGGGCGGACGGCCACACUGGGACUGAGACACGGCCCAGACUCCUACGGGAGCAGCAGUUAGGAAUCUUGGACAAUGGGCGCAAGCCUGAUCCAGCCAU
rnacentral:rRNA from 1 species